rnacentral:tRNA from 1 species
AAACAAAAUAUUAAUUGAAAUCAUAUUCAAACUUAAUUUCGACUUAAGCUUAGGGUUAACCCAGUAUUUA